rnacentral:rRNA from 1 species
AAUGUUGACAUGAGUAGCGACAAACAGGGUGAGAGACCCUGUCGCCGAAAGUCCAAGGGUUCCUGCUUAAAGCUAAUCUGAGCAGGGUAAGCCGGCCCCUAAGGCGAGGCCGAAAGGCGUAGUCGAUGGGAACCAGGUUAAUAUUCCUGGGCCAGGAGAUGGUGACGGAUCACAGAGGUAGUUCUUCCUUACCGGAUUGGAAGGGCUGCUGAGUGGUUCCUGGAAAUAGCCCUCCACAAGACCGUACCCUAAACCGACACAGGUGGACUGGUAGAGAAUACCAAGGCGCUUGAGAGAACCACAUUUAAGGAACUCGGCAAAAUACCUCCGUAAGUUCGCGAGAAGGAGGCCCCGUUUGUACGCAAGUAUGGGCGGGGGGCACAAACCAGGGGGUGGCGACUGUUUACUAAAAACACAGGGCUCUGCGAAGCCGUAAGGCGACGUAUAGGGUCAGACGCCUGCCCGGUGCCGGAAGGUUAAAAGGAGAUGUGCAAGCAUUGAAUUGAAGCCCCGGUAAACAGCGGCCGUAACAAUAACGGUCCUAAGGUAGCGAAAUUCCUUGUCGGGUAAGUUCCGACCGGCACGAAUGGCGUAACGACUUCCCCGCUGUCUCAAAUGUGGACUCAGCGAAAUUGAAUUGUCUGUGAAGAUGCAGACUUCCCGCGGUUAGACGGAAAGACCCCAUGCACCUUUACUAUAGCUUCGUACUGGCAUCAGGAUUGUGAUGUGCAGGAUAGGUGGUAGGCAUUGAAACCGGGACGCCAGUUCCGGUGGAGCCAUCCUUGAGAUACCACCCUUCGCACUCUUGAUGUCUAACCGCGGCCCGUUAUCCGGGUCCGGGACCCUGCGUGGUGGGUAGUUUGACUGGGGCGGUCGCCUCCCAAAAAGUAACGGAGGCGCGCGAAGGUUGGCUCAGAGCGGCCGGAAAUCGCUCGUUGAGUGCAAUGGCAGAAGCCAGCCUGACUGCAAGACUGACAAGUCGAGCAGAGACGAAAGUCGGCCAUAGUGAUCCGGUGGUCCCGAGUGAAAGGGCCAUCGCUCAACGGAUAAAAGGUACGCUGGGGAUAACAGGCUGAUGAUGCCCAAGAGUCCAUAUCGACGGCAUCGUUUGGCACCUCGAUGUCGGCUCAUCUCAUCCUGGGGCUGGAGCAGGUCCCAAGGGUACGGCUGUUCGCCGUUUAAAGAGGUACGUGAGCUGGGUUUAGAACGUCGUGAGACAGUUCGGUCCCUAUCUGCCGUGGGUGUAGGAUACUUGAGAGGAGUUGCCCCUAGUACGAGAGGACCGGGGUGAACGUUCCACUGGUGGACCAGUUGUCGUGCCAACGGCAGUGCUGGGUAGCUAUGAACGGACAGGAUAAACGCUGAAGGCAUCUAAGCGUGAAGCCCCCCUCAAAACAAGGUAUCCCUUGAGAGCCGUGGAAGACCGCCACGUCGAUAGGCCGGAGAUGUAAGUGCAGCAAUGCAUUCAGUUGACCGGUACUAAUGGCUC